UCCCCCACCCACAAAAAACAAGAACAAGCAGCGUUAUGGGAAAAGAGGCCGAAAAUGCUAGAGCUCCGGCGACGAACGGCGGCGCUACUGCUCCAGAGUCGGAGUUCAAGCUCAAAGGAUUCAAGAACUUUGUUCGAACAAAUCCGAAAUCGGAUCGGUUUAAGGUUAAGCGGUUCCAUCAUAUUGAGUUCUGGUGUACCGACGCUACGAACACCGCUCGGAGAUUCUCGUGGGGACUUGGUAUGCCGAUUGUGGCUAAAUCCGAUCUCUCCACCGGGAAUAUGACUCAUGCUUCUUAUCUCCUCCGUUCUGGCCAGCUUUGCUUUCUCUUCACUGCACCUUAUUCGCCCUCCAUUGCCGCCGCCGAGAACCUUACUCCGGCAUCAACUGCUUCAAUCCCUAGUUUCGACCAUUCCGCCUGCCGUGCCUUCUCCGGUAGCCAUGGAUUAGGCGUUCGAGCAAUCGCUCUUGAAGUUGAGGACGCCGAGAUCGCCUUCAGAACCAGCGUCGCACACGGUGCGGAACCUUUCUCUCCUCCAAUUGUUCUCGAUAAUCGCGCUGUUCUGUCCGAGGUUCACUUGUAUGGCGACGUUGUUUUGCGUUAUAUUAGCUACAAAAACCCUAUUUCUGGCGAUGAUGGCGAGAAUAAACCAGACGUAUGGUUCUUGCCGAAAUUCGAGGCCAAUGAGGAGAUUGCUUCGUAUCCGCUCGAUUUCGGGAUACGAAAACUGGACCAUGCAGUCGGAAAUGUGCCGGAGUUGGGACCAGCGGUUGCUUACGUGAAAGGAUUCACAGGAUUUCACGAGUUUGCAGAGUUCACGGCGGAGGAUGUGG
rnacentral:misc_RNA from 1 species